rnacentral:sRNA from 1 species
AAUAUAAACAAAUAUGUCGACGAUUGUUGUUAAAAACUAAAAGUAAAUUGGUUCAACUUUGGUAAGCUGAGAAAAUCUAUGUUCUCACCAACAUGUUGUUGGCCCACUGGUAAAUCUUUUAGGUGGAGGUGCUGGGUUCGAGUCACGUUGGAAGGGAUCUCUUCUCUAAAAGAGAUGAAUUUAACCUGGUGUAGAUCCCGCCUCUAGAAAAUAUAAGGCCUUUGCGCCUGAAUUUCCAAAUAUUUUUUUAAA